rnacentral:tRNA from 1 species
CGCUAAGAAGCUAAAUCGGACCCUAGCGUUAGCCUUUUAAGCUAAAGAUUGGUGACCUCCAACCACCCUUAGUGA